GGCGGCGGAAAACUACUCAGAUCAUCUGGGUUACCUGUUUGGUAUCUUCCUUCUGAAGUCUGUCUAUAAGGCAAAGAAAGCCAAGAAAUUCCAUGAGGAAAAAGGGCCGGAUGGAUUCUUGCUCACUUAAUACUCUGACGGCUUCAGCUUCAUUUGUCAACGAAAUAGGACAAGACUGGUUUGGCGAAUCAGAAUGUUCCUCUUUGCUGUGAUUAG